UAAGAGACCUUUGUGCAGCCAUCACUAAAACGUACAUGUCAUUCUCUCAUGUGCUUUACUCCUUCUCCCUCUAAACCCAUGACAGCAGGCAUACUUCCCCGAGUCACAUGAAUUUCUACAUUGUGAAAUAUCCUCCCUCCCAUCAAUUAGAGCUAACUGGUGGGAAGUGGCUACUGCUGUUCACACAACAUUUCUGGGGAGUCUCCAUCAGGACCUGAGAGACUGAAAGGAGCAGCUACGAGGAGAUCAGGAGCAACUUCCUCCAGAAGCCGACUCUGCUGAAGUCUAGGAUGGCCAACUGUGGCUCUUGUUUCUGGUGCUUGAUCUGGCUGGUGGUUCUGCUCUGCAUUGGCUGGCCCCUGGCGAUCACCUUAGGGGGCCUGUACGGCCUCAUCAGCCCCCUCACCACCUGCCUAGGCCUGGACAGACUCUCCGAUCUGCUCCUGGAGGGUGCAAACCUGGGCCGGACCUGCGCCAAUAACAUGCGGCACGGCAAGCCUUUGUGCUGAGAUCCACACAGAGUGAGCUGGAGAGGAGAUCCAAGGCAAGAUUGUGGCUUUUCUCCAGAGAAAAUCCUGUCACUUUGAGGAGGGAUUUUAAAAUGUGGACAGACCCGACACCUGUGAUGAUUGUCACUAAAUAAAGUGAGAAACUUUUAUUGUGUAUUUUUUACUGAUUUAUGUAACAAUAAGGUCCGCAAGGUGUGGAAAAUGGAUUCCACUGGUUCUGUUAACACGUAAUUAACCGUGGACUUUAAAUUUGUGUGGGUUUGUCAGGAAGGAAAUAGCCUUUGUGUUCAUGGUCUGUGUUUGCUGUUUAAUUCAUGAUGACACUGCAAGGAGAAGAUAAGAGUGAAAAUGGCAAUUUAACAAUGGGAAUGCUUAGACUUGUAAAUGACUAUGAAACUUUUAAUACGAUUAAAACUGCUUUGA